AAGCUAUGAUGAUAUCUGCGCUUCUUGUGGCAGUUGGGUCCGCCACUACUGUCUGAUCUUCAGACGAAACAAAGCGCAUCUGAGCAU
rnacentral:snoRNA from 1 species